rnacentral:rRNA from 1 species
AGAGAUUGAACAUAAGAGUUUGAUCCUGGCUCAGAUUGAACGCUGGCGGCAUGCUUUACACAUGCAAGUCGGACGGCAGCACAGAGAAGCUUGCUUCUUGGGUGGCGAGUGGCGAACGGGUGAGUAACAUAUCGGAACGUACCGAGUAGUGGGGGAUAACUGAUCGAAAGAUCAGCUAAUACCGCAUACGUCUUGAGAGGGAAAGCAGGGGACCUUCGGGCCUUGCGCUAUUCGAGCGGCCGAUAUCUGAUUAGCUGGUUGGUGGGGUAAAGGCUCACCAAGGCGACGAUCAGUAGCGGGUCUGAGAGGAUGAUCCGCCACACUGGGACUGAGACACGGCCCAGACUCCUACGGGAGGCAGCAGUGGGGAAUUUUGGACAAUGGGCGCAAGCCUGAUCCAGCCAUGCCGCGUGUCUGAAGAAGGCCUUCGGGUUGUAAAGGACUUUUGUCAGGGAAGAAAAGGCUGUUGCUAAUAUCAGCGGCUGAUGACGGUACCUGAAGAAUAAGCACCGGCUAACUACGUGCCAGCAGCCGCGGUAAUACGUAGGGUGCGAGCGUUAAUCGGAAUUACUGGGCGUAAAGCGGGCGCAGACGGUUACUUAAGCAGGAUGUGAAAUCCCCGGGCUCAACCCGGGAACUGCGUUCUGAACUGGGUGACUCGAGUGUGUCAGAGGGAGGUAGAAUUCCACGUGUAGCAGUGAAAUGCGUAGAGAUGUGGAGGAAUACCGAUGGCGAAGGCAGCCUCCUGGGAUAACACUGACGUUCAUGCCCGAAAGCGUGGGUAGCAAACAGGAUUAGAUACCCUGGUAGUCCACGCCCUAAACGAUGUCAAUUAGCUGUUGGGCAACUUGAUUGCUUGGUAGCGUAGCUAACGCGUGAAAUUGACCGCCUGGGGAGUACGGUCGCAAGAUUAAAACUCAAAGGAAUUGACGGGGACCCGCACAAGCGGUGGAUGAUGUGGAUUAAUUCGAUGCAACGCGAAGAACCUUACCUGGUCUUGACAUGUACGGAAUCCUCCAGAGACGGAGGAGUGCCUUCGGGAGCCGUAACACAGGUGCUGCAUGGCUGUCGUCAGCUCGUGUCGUGAGAUGUUGGGUUAAGUCCCGCAACGAGCGCAACCCUUGUCAUUAGUUGCCAUCAUUCAGUUGGGCACUCUAAUGAGACUGCCGGUGACAAGCCGGAGGAAGGUGGGGAUGACGUCAAGUCCUCAUGGCCCUUAUGACCAGGGCUUCACACGUCAUACAAUGGUCGGUACAGAGGGUAGCCAAGCCGCGAGGCGGAGCCAAUCUCACAAAACCGAUCGUAGUCCGGAUUGCACUCUGCAACUCGAGUGCAUGAAGUCGGAAUCGCUAGUAAUCGCAGGUCAGCAUACUGCGGUGAAUACGUUCCCGGGUCUUGUACACACCGCCCGUCACACCAUGGGAGUGGGGGAUACCAGAAGUAGGUAGGAUAACCGCAAGGGGUCCGCUUACCACGGUAUGCUUCAUGACUGGGGUGAAGUCGUAACAAGGUAGCCGUAGGGGAACCUGCGGCUGGAUCACCUCCUUUCUA